UGGGGGAAUAUUGGACAAUGGACCAAGAGUCUGAUCCAGCAAUUCUGUGUGCACGAUGAAGUUUUUCGGAAUGUAAAGUGCUUUCAGUUGGGAAGAAGAAAGUGACGGUACCAACAGAAGAAGCGACGGCUAAAUACGUGCCAGCAGCCGCGGUAAUACGUAUGUCGCAAGCGUUAUCCGGAUUUAUUGGGCGUAAAGCGCGUCUAGGUGGUUGCAUAAGUCUGAUGUGAAAAUGCGGGGCUCAACUCCGUAUUGCGUUGGAAACUGUGCGACUAGAGUACUGGAGAGGUAAGCGGAACUACAAGUGUAGAGGUGAAAUUCGUAGAUAUUUGUAGGAAUGCCGAUGGGGAAGCCAGCUUACUGGACAGAUACUGACGCUAAAGCGCGAAAGCGUGGGUAGCAAACAGGAUUAGAUACCCUGGUAGU
rnacentral:rRNA from 1 species